AGCAGCCGCGGUAAUUCCAGCUCCAAUAGCGUAUAUUAAAGUUGUUGCAGUUAAAAAGCUCGUAGUUGAAUUUCGGGGUCAGUAGGUUGGUCAUGCCUCCGGUAUGUACUGGUCUCACUGAUUCCUCCUUCCUGAUGAGCCGUAAUGCCAUUAAUUUGGUGUUGCGGGAAUCUGGACUGUUACUUUGAAAAAUUAGAGUGUUUAAAGCAAGCUAACGCUUGAAUACAUUAGCAUGGAAUAAUGGAAUAGGACGUUCGAUCCUAUUUUGUUGGUUUCUAGGAUUGACGUAAUGAUUAAUAGGGAUAGUUGGGGGCAUUAGUAUUCAAUUGUCAGAGGUGAAAUUCUUGGAUUUAUUGAAGACUAACUACUGCGAAAGCAUUUGCCAAGGAUGUUUUCAUUAAUCAAGAACGAAAGUUAGGGGAUCGAAGA
rnacentral:rRNA from 1 species